rnacentral:rRNA from 1 species
UACGUAGGGAGCAAGCGUUGUCCGGAAUCAUUGGGCGUAAAGCGCGCGUAGGUGGCUUCGUAAGUCCGUUGUGAAAGUCAAAGGCUCAACCUUUGAAAGCCGAUGGAUACUGCGGAGCUAGAGUACGGAAGAGGCGAGUGGAAUUCCUGGUGUAGCGGUGGAAUGCGCAGAUAUCAGGAGGAACACCAAUAGCGAAGGCAGCUCGCUGGGACGUUACUGACACUGAGGCGCGAAAGCGUGGGGAGCGAACAGGAUUAGAAC